rnacentral:rRNA from 1 species
AUUGAACGCUGGCGGCAGGCCUAACACAUGCAAGUCGAGCGGAUGAAGGGAGCUUGCUCCUGGAUUCAGCGGCGGACGGGUGAGUAAUGCCUAGGAAUCUGCCUGGCAGUGGGGGAUAACGUCAGGAAACGGGCGCUAAUACCGCAUACGUCCUGAGGGAGAAAGUGGGGGAUCUUCGGACCUCACGCUAUCAGAUGAGCCUAGGUCGGAUUAGCUAGUUGGUGGGGUAAAGGCCUACCAAGGCGACGAUCCGUAACUGGUCUGAGAGGAUGAUCAGUCACACUGGAACUGAGACACGGUCCAGACUCCUACGGGAGGCAGCAGUGGGGAAUCUUGGACAAUGGGCGAAAGCCUGAUCCAGCCAUGCCGCGUGUGUGAAGAAGGUCUUCGGAUUGUAAAGCACUUUAAGUUGGGAGGAAGGGCAGUAAGUGAAUACCUUGCUGUUUUGACGUUACCAACAGAAUAAGCACCGGCUAACUUCGUG